CAGGCCUAACACAUGCAAGUCGAGCGGUGGCAGCAAUGUCAUAGUCGCGCACGGGUGCGUGACACGUAACUAACCUACCUAUGACUGGGGGAUAGCCCGCCGAUAGGCGGAUUAAUACCGCAUAAGCUACUGAAACGGCAUCGUUUUAUUAGUAAAGAUUUAUUGGUUAUAGAUGGGGUUGCGGCUCAUUAGCUAGUUGGUUGGGUAACGGCUGACCAAGGCGACGAUGACUAGGGGAGCUGAGAGGCUGGUCCCCCACACGGGCAAUGAGAUACGGGCCCGACUCUGACGGGAGGCAGCAGUAGGGAAUAUUGGGCAAUGGGGGAGAGCCUGACCCAGCCAUGCCGCGUGCAGGAAGAAGGCUUUAUGAGUCGUAAACUGCUUUUGACAGGGAAGAAUAAGCUGUACGUGUACAGUGAUGACGGUACCUGCAGAAUAAGCACCGGCUAACUCCGUGCCAGCAGCCGCGGUAAU
rnacentral:rRNA from 1 species